UGGAAAGCUGAGACUUCAGGCGCUUGGUGACAGAUAUAAUUUGGAAGUCAAAUACUCUAAGGAAGCAGCUAGAGCGUGUGUGUGAGCUCCUCACACACACAGCACAGAUGCCUCCUGCAGGACCCCGACGCGUCUGUGAAGCAGCUG
rnacentral:lncRNA from 1 species